rnacentral:lncRNA from 1 species
AGCUACCACGCUGGUGAGGCCAAGGGCCAAGCUCAGGUAAUUAGCUCAUGUGUAAUUCUCCAUUUGUUUUUACUUAUUUCUUCUACUUUCUUUUAAAUAUUACAUUAUUAUAUGUGAAUGUGCAUUGAGAUUGAUGUGGGGUGUUUUGUAUUGGAUACUUUUGGAUUUAACAGGAGAAGGCUAGUGGGAUGAUGGAUAAAGCUAACAAUGCAGCCCAAUCUACCAAGGAGACAAUGCAAGAUGUUGGUCAGAAUGUGCAUGCGAAGGCUCAAGGAGCUGCUGAUGCAGUCAAGAAUGCAACUGGCAUGAACAAAUGAAGCUGCUCAUGAUGAUCAUUUUCAUGACUUUUAAUGACUUUAUAGAGUUAAGAUGAUGACAAACUUUGUUUGAGUUUUAUAGACUUUUAUGUAAUUUUUUUUUCUUUCUUACUCUUCUUUUGAACGAAGGAACUGAAAAUUGCAUAGAAUUCUAAAAUGAUUGAAUUUAGAUCCCCAUCGUUUUCAUUUAUGGUAAUUAAUAAUUUUAGUAUUCGGAUUUAUGUAUGUUAAAUUUUGUAAAUGACAUAAAUUUUAGGGGAAAACGAAUUCUAAUAUCUUUUGAUCACGAUGAAUUAACUCAUGAGAUCUAUAUAACCAAAAUAAUUAUUCAUGUAGAGAUUGAUGAAUAAUAUCAAUUACGACUCUUGAGAUUGGGGCCCAAUUCGUUGGGUUUGAGACUUUUUCAUCUUUUAUUUCUAAAGACAUCGUUUUGGGCUUGGGUGCCUUAGUGCUUUUUGAAAUAUCCACAAGUUUACUAAACACAUUAAUGACAUGUUUAUUAAUCCGUAAUUAGAUUAGGAGCAAUUGAAUUGAUGAUGAAUUGAAUUGGGAAGGAGUUAGAUUGAGGAGAAUUAGAUUUCGGAUUCCUAUUGAAGUUCUUUACUAAACCGUAUGGAUUGAGGAGAAUUAAAUUCCGGAUUUCUAUUGAAGUUGUUUACUAAAUCAUAUGGAAUUGAGGUAAUAGUGGUACUAAUUACUAAAAUGACCUCGUUGUUUGGUUAAAGUAGAUGGCAAAUUUGAAAUUUUGAAAAUUGAGGAUAUAAUGGGUAACAAAGAUGAAUUCCUAAUAGAUUAGUUCUCCAGGAAUUAGAAUACCACUUCCCACCGAAGAAUUGAGUUUCUCCAAAAUUAGGAAUUCAAUUCCUAAUUUUAUAUGGCCCCACUUACUUUUUAAUUCUUUGAUGUGAAAUAAACACAGGAAUUCUCCAUAGGUGGAAUUCAAUUCUUGAUUAGUAAAAACACAAUAAAAUGCACUCAGGUCAAGAAACAGAACUCCGAAAAUCAGAGAUACAAGAGAACCAAACCAACACAAAAAUACAAAAUGUGAAUGAACUUGGGGAAACUAUCAAAUAGAAAAUUUUAUAUAGAGCUGGUGUAUGCAUUAUUUUUCUCGUAAUAAGUAUUCACAUAACCAAGCACGUGAAAGAAUGUAACGUGCAUGAAAGAGUUGGUGUAUGCAUUAUUUUUCUCGUAGUAAGUGGUCAAAUAACUAAGCACUUAAAAGAAUAUAGCGUGCAUGAUAAUGUAUAAAACUCAUUACAAGUAAGAUUUUUUGCGGUUAAAAGUAAAAUGCAUACUUGUCCAUAAACUUAGGGACAAUAUCGCUUUUAACUCAUGUGGAGGAUAACCCAACAAGUUUAUUAGCAUUUACUCAUAAGAUGUUUUGGUCUUUCUAUCAAAUAACAAUAUCUUGUGAGUCUUGCGAAUUAUAAUUAAUUGAUAAUGUAUUUUUAGGCGUAGUAAUUAAGGAAAUAUAAUCCAAUAUUAUAAGAAUUCCAUAAUACUGAAAAAAGUAAUUUCCAUAUUCAAAACUGUCUGAACCCUAAGAAUAGCAACUGUAGAUGAAGAUAAGACUCAACAGCCUUGUCCUGGUCCGAAAGGCUCAUCCCAAGUUAUAAGGCGACACGUGUUAUGGUCCAAAGCCAUGAAAUGUGUGAAUAGCUUCCGCAUGGCAUCACACGUGUCGAGCAUUCAGCUGGUUGAAAAUUCUAUAUAAACCCUACCCAAAUGUGAAAUAUUCAUCAUCAGCAAAUCAAAUUCGUGUUAUAAAAACUACAUCUGAAUUUCAAGUGCUUUCCUCCAGUUUCCAAGAAAACAAAGCAAGAAAAAAAUGGCUUCCAACUCUGAGAAGGUGAGCUACCACGCUGGUGAGGCCAAGGGCCAAGCUCAGGUAAUUUUCUUCACCUAUUAUUCUCCAUUUGUUCCUGCAUUUUUUGUUGUUGAAUAUUACAUAAUUUAUGCUGAAUGUGCAUUGAGAUUGAUGUAAUUUUUCAUUUAACAGGAGAAGGCGAGUGGGGUGAUGGAUAUGGCAAACAAUGCAGCCCAAUCUGCCAAGGAAACAAUGCAAGCGGCAGGCCAGAAUGUGCAGGCCACGGCUAUAGGAGCUGCUGAUGCAGUCAAGAAUGCCACUGGCAUGAACAAAAAAUGAAGCUAGCUGCUCAUCAUGAUCUCAAUAUGAGCAUUUGCAGUUUUUUUUUCUUUUUUUUGGGAGCUUUCUAGUAGUUGCUUUUGAUUUCUGUCUUCUAAACAAGGGAGCUCUAAGUCCUCUGGAGUUCUCAUCAUCUGGGUGUGUACUUUCGUUCACACUUGGUUUUAGUUUUUGUUUUCUUUUUCUUUUUGUUCAUGUUUAUCUCCUUUGAACAAGGAAAGUGGGCUCUGCCUAUUGUAGUUCUCACCUAAUUGAAUCAUAUGCUGUUUUUAAUCCCAUCUAUAUGUUCAAGAUUGGUCCUUUGUUUAUGCAGAUGAGCAAAAUCCGACCUAAGAGUUUCUGAAAAUAAAAAACAUAAAAAAAAGAAGAUAUAAAUUAAUUAAGCAAGUGCGACAACUCAUAAUUAAGAGAAGCUACUUUUGCAUCUGAUAGAAUUUUAUUGAUAAUGCGGGAUGAAAAUAAGUAAAAAAAUUAAGCUAUGUCUAAAUAAUUAGGUGAGCAUCUCUACACAUAAUGACGUAGUGGUCGUCGAACUAUCUAGAUAGUCUAUCUUCUCAACCUUCUCUCGUCGGACUACCUAUAGAUAGCCUCUCGUCGGACUACCUAGGUAGCCUACCUUCUCAACCUUCUCAACUACAAACGAAAAAAAUAAAAACCUUGCCACCGUUAGAGCGGCCCCAUCUCUCUAAGAUUAGCUACUUAACUAUAGAACAAUAUCGUGACUAUGUAGCUAAGUAGCUUUCCCACAUCAAAGAAAUUUCUGUGACCUUCUUCCGUGAAAUUAAAGUACCAUAAUUUGUUGAAAAUUAAAGCACUUUUGUCGAGAAAUAUCUAGAAAAAUCUAGAUAAGAUCACCGACCAAGCUAAAGUCUACAUAUGCCAGAACUGUCAUAUGAAAUAUCCAAUAUGGUACUAUUAGAUUGAUAAUACGAUAAAAACUAGUGGAGACCACAAAGUUGUGGUUAGGAAUGUAGCAGCAGCUCGGCUGAAAAUGUGUGGUUAGGAACAAAACAAGCCCAAGUGGGUGGAGCUUCAGCAUGUCGGCUGCUGUCAUCUGUAAAUGAAUUUGGUAUGUUUAUUUUAAAAUAAAUUAAUCCAUAAUUACAUUAAAUUACCUUUAUUAGUGGGAGUUAAAUUUCCAUUAAUAUGACUCAACUGCUUUAUGCUUGUGUCCAUUAACGUCUUUCUUGGUGGUAUACUAUGUGUAUAUGUUAGUUAUAGCUUGAAAAAGAAAAAGAGAGAAGCCACAGCCUUCUUCCUCUUAUGAUAAAAUUUGGGUUACUAACAAUACAUUUACAUUAAUUACUCUCUCUUGUAGAAAUGUGAUAUUAAUUUAUUGAUUGCAAUCAUUAAUAAAAUUUAGAGGAUUGACGGUAAUGACAAUAUGUAUAAAUGUUUUAAAAACAGUGGCCAAGGUUUUGUGUACUUGGUAGGCUUGUUAAGUUGCUGGACCCAAUUCUACAUCAAAAGAGAGGUGGAGUGCAUUUAUAGUGCAAACUCAAAAUUGGACCUAUAUCAAAAGACUCAUUCUUUUAAUUUAUGUAUUGAGAUUUCUAAGCAACAUAGUUAGAAAGGUGUUUGUUACCUUUUCUAAACUGCUUGCAUAAAUUGGGCGUAGAGCCGCGAAACGUCUGAAAGAGAACGACUUCGUACGUGACUCAUCCCAAGAAUCGUUCCAAACUACAUACUAAAUUUUUCGUGUAAUAUUGUUCUCUUAUUUUAAUUUGUUCAUCAACAAUUUAAAGACCUUUUCAUCUGCCAUUGAUGUGAAUAAUAAGGCUUAUAGAUUCUAUGACCAAAAGAACCAUGUUGUACUUGAAUCUAAAUGAUGUUUAAAAAAAAAGAAGAUAAAUUCUCAUAUAAAUUGAGAAAUUGUGGGGACUCAAGUUCUAGUAAUACAUCUUUCCCAUAAAUCAUGAACCUAGAUGUAUAGAACAUUUUUAACCAACUUAGAACCAAGGAAGAGUAAGAAAACGAAUUGCCAAGGAUUUUGGACCUAAUUUUCAUGUUCAUACCUUAGAGCAAGGAUUUUGGACCUAACUUUCACACUUGGUUUUUGUUUUUGUUCAUGUUAUCUCCUUUGAACAAGGAAAGUGGGCUCUGCCUAUUGUAGUUCUCACCUAAUUGAAGCAUAAUCUUUUUUCAUGUGCUGGUGUUAGAAUUAUCUUCAUCCUUUACUUCGAUUUAAUCCCAUCUAUAUAUUCAACUAGACAACGAUAGAAUCGUGACUGAAAAACUGCCGCUGAUGCCUUGCAAGAGACGAUGGUCACGUAUACGACGAUUAUGUGUCACAUAAGAGGACUGCACUGUGUCUAGAAAAAUCUAGAUAAGAUACCGACCAAGCUAAAGUCUACAUAUGCCAGAACAGUCAUAUAAAGUAUCUCGGCUGAAAAUAUGUGGUUAGGAACAAACAAGCCCAAGUGGGUGGAGCUUGGGCAUGUCGGCUGCUGUCAUUUGUAAAUGAAUUUGGUAUGUUUAUUUUAAAAUAAAUUAAUCAAUAAUUACAUUAAAUUACCUUUAUUAGUGGGAGUUAAAUUUCCAUUAAUAUGACUCAACUGCUUUAUGCUGGUUUUAAGUCUAUUAACGUCUUUCUUGGUGGUAUAUUAUGUAUAUAUAUAUUAUUAGCUAUAGCUUGAAAAAGAAAAGAGAUAGAAAAGCCACAGCCUUCUUCCUCUUCAUCCCUAUGAAUUCUCUCCUUCUUUUACUUUAUGUAUUGAGAUUUCUAAGCAACAUAGUCAAAAAGGUAUUUGUUAUCUUUUCUAAACUAUUUACACAAAUUGGCGCAAAGUCGUGAAACGUCUUAAAGAGAUCGACGUAAUACGCAACUCAUCCUAAGAAUCGUUCCAAGCUCCAUAUUGUAUUUUUCGUAUAAUAUUGUUCUCUUAUUUUAAUUUGUGCAUCAACAAUUUUAAGAGGUUUUUAUUUGCCAUGGAUGUUAAUAAUAAGGCUUAUAGAUUCUCUGACUUAAAGAACCAUGUUGUAAUUGAAUCUAAUGAUACUGUUUAAAAAAAGAAGAAGAUAAAUUCUCAUUUAAAUUAAGAAAUUGUGGGGACUCAAGUUCUAGUAAUACAUCUUUCCCAUAAAUAAUGAACCUAGAGGUAUAGAACAUUUUUAACCAACUUGGAACCAAGGAAGACUAAGAAAGAACGAAUUAAUUGCCAAGGAUUUGGACCUAAUUUUCAUGUUUAUACCUUAGAGUAGGAUCCCACCACUCUCCAAUCACAUAUAUAUAUAUACAUAUAUAUAUUUUAUAUUCAGAUUUAUUUCGUUAAUUUUUUUUAAUCUUUCAUAUUAUUUACUUAUGGUUUUACAAGAUUUUAUUGUUUUGUAGUUUCGCUAAUAUGCUGCUCCGGUGCUUCCAUUACAAUUUUUUUUUAGAGAACUUCUCCAUCACAUCUGUAAAUGUACAAUCAUACAAUAUUUCAGUGAGUUUUAAUUAGCAUGUGCCUUCUUUAUGUUGUCGGCCACCUAUAUUGGAUACACAUUCAUAUAGAAAAAGUCACCUAUAUUGUCUAAUUUACUGUCAGCUCUGCAUCACUCAAUAAAAAUUAUGUGCAGGUGGGAUCUCUGAGAUCUGGUAUUUAUCAAGAGUUAGAUUCAAUUAUACAAAAGAUCAUUUCUAUUACUCUCUUUUCCAUCAAUAUUUUCUCAACCCAAAAAUUCCAACCAUCACUAGUAAUGUAUGAAUAUGUCAACAUUAAUCAAAUAAUUAAUAACACGUAAACAUCCAAUAUCAAAAACAUUAUAAUAUCAAGCUAUAAUAUAAUAUUCACGAAAUUUAAUUCAAUCAAUUCUUGUAAAGGCCCUAAAAAAUCCAUACCUCAAUUCCAAAGCUAGCUCAAAAUUUAAGAAAACACAAACUAGGCCUAUAUCUCCUCCAAGAAUUUGAUCAUCUCUCUCUUUCUCUCUUUUACUUCCUCUCUCAUUUCUUUUUUGUUUCUUACUCUUAUUUCAAUUCUAGAAGGCCCUAUUUAUACUAGCAUAAGUCGGCAACAACAAAGAUCUCAUUGGAUAAUUGUUUGGCAGCUAAGAAAUGAGAUAUGCAUGGAAGCUAUCUUUAUAUAAUAUAAACUAAUAUUAAUCCUAU